rnacentral:rRNA from 1 species
GAUGAACGCUAGCUACAGGCUUAACACAUGCAAGUCGAGGGGAAACGGCAUCGAAAGCUUGCUUUUGAUGGGCGUCGACCGGCGCACGGGUGAGUAACGCGUAUCCAACCUGCCCAUCACUUGGGAAUAACCUUGCGAAAGUAAGACUAAUGCCCAAUGACAUCCCACGAAGGCAUCCGAAUGGGAUUAAAGAUUUAUCGGUGAUGGAUGGGGAUGCGUCUGAUUAGCUUGUUGGCGGGGUGACGGCCCACCAAGGCAACGAUCAGUAGGGGUUCUGAGAGGAAGGUCCCCCACAUUGGAACUGAGACACGGUCCAAACUCCUACGGGAGGCAGCAGUGAGGAAUAUUGGUCAAUGGGCGAGAGCCUGAACCAGCCAAGUAGCGUGCAGGAUGACGGCCCUAUGGGUUGUAAACUGCUUUUAUAAGGGAAUAAAGUGGGUCACGUGUGACUUUUUGCAUGUACCUGAUGAAUAAGGACCGGCUAAUUCCGUG